UACGGAGGGGGCAAACGUUGUUCGGAAUUACUGGGCGUAAAGGGUGCGUAGGCGGUUCGGUAAGUCUGGUGUGAAAGCCCACAGCUCACCUGUGGAUCCGCACUGGAAACUGCUGAGCUCGAGGAUGGGAGAGGCAGGUGGAAUUCCUGGUGUAGCGGUGGAAUGCGUAGAUAUCAGGAAGAACACUCGUGGCGAAGGCGGCCUGCUGGCCCAUUUCUGACGCUGAGGCACGAAAGCCAGGGGAGCAAACGGG
rnacentral:rRNA from 1 species